rnacentral:rRNA from 1 species
GAUGAACGCUGGCGGCGUGCUUAACACAUGCAAGUCGAACGGAGCUAUGACACGGAGUCUUCGGACGAAGUGCUGUAGCUUAGUGGCGGACGGGUGAGUAACACGUGAGCAACCUACCUUUUGCAGGGGAAUAACUCUGGGAAACCAGAGCUAAUACCGCAUGCCGUGCGCUUGGGGCAUCCCAGGUGCAUGAAAGGAGCAAUCCGGCAGAAGAUGGGCUCGCGUCCGAUUAGGUAGUUGGAGAGGUAAUGGCUCCCCAAGCCGACGAUCGGUAGCCGGACUGAGAGGUCGAUCGGCCACAUUGGGACUGAGACACGGCCCAGACUCCUACGGGAGGCAGCAGUGGGGAAUAUUGGGCAAUGGGCGGAAGCCUGACCCAGCGACGCCGCGUGAAGGAGGAAGGCUUUCGAGUUGUAAACUUCUUUGGGGAGGGACGAAGAUGACGGUACCUCCAGAACAAGCCACGGCUAACUACGUGCCAGCAGCCGCGGU